UACGUAGGUGGCAAGCGUUGUCCGGAUUUACUGGGCGUAAAGAGCGCGCAGGCGGUCGUUCAAGUCGCGUGUGAAAGCCCCCGGCUCAACUGGGGAGGGUCACGCGAUACUGAUCGACUGGAAGGCAGGAGAGGGUAGUGGAAUUCCCGGUGUAGUGGUGAAAUGCGUAGAUAUCGGGAGGAACACCAGUGGCGAAGGCGGCGAACUGGACAGUAACUGACACUCAACUGCGAAAGCGUGGGGAGCAAACAGG
rnacentral:rRNA from 1 species